CAUUUUUCCUAUUUUCUCUUUGGUUUUCAUACAAAAAUUGUGAUCUGCAAAGAUCUAAUCGUCUAAACUCAAAUCCGAUUUUGGAAACGUGAUCGACGAAGUCCGAUCUACGUUUCUACCGAUUGUUUUGAAGUAAUGGGAUAUUUGGAACUUGCUUGAAGCUACCCAAACCAUGGGUUUUGGUUUGGUGAAUUUUGUGAUACAUUGCAAGGUGGCGUCUAGGAGACCUAAGCUUAAUAUCUGUGCAACCAGAUGAGUAUUCUACUCACUAAGAG